GGCUUAAUGAUUUUAAUUUUAAGUCUAUCUGCCCAAUGAUUUUAAAUUUAAUGGCUGCAGUAUAAUUGACUGUACAAAGGUAGCAUAAUCAAUUGUUUUUUAAUUAAAAACUGGAAUGAAAGAAUUAAUGAGAUAUAUACUGUCUCAUAUAUAUAUAAUUAAUUUAAAUUUUUAGUAAAAAUGCUAAAAUAAAUUUAUGGGACGAUAAGACCCUAUAGAAUUUUAUAUUAAUAUAUAAAUUAAAAAUUAUUUUGUAUAUUAAUAUUUAAUUGGGAGGAUUAAUAAAUUUGUAAAACUUUAUUUUAAAUAAAAACUUUGAUUAGAGAAUUUAUAAUGAUUAUGUAUUAUGAAUUAUAAGAAUAAAUUACCUUAGGGAUAACAGCGUAAUAUCUUUUUAAAGAUCAAAUUGAUAAAGAUGAUUGCGACCUCGAUGUUGAAUUAAGAUAAAUUUUAAAUGUAGAAGUUUAAUAAUUGAGUCUGUUCGACUCUUAAAAUCUU
rnacentral:rRNA from 1 species